rnacentral:lncRNA from 1 species
UUUCCGAAUCCUUAUUAGUCGAGGUUAUCUCAUUAGCCUUCUCGGUGAAGUGAGGUGUUACAAGUUAUUACAUUCGGCACAUUGAAAGCCGAAUUUGAUAUUGAACUUUGUUUAUACCAUAUUUAGGGCCUCGUAUUUAGAUCUCGUACAAAUACUCGAGGGACUUAAAUGUAAUUAUGUGAUAAAGGAAGGGGCAAAUAUGUAAUAAGUGAGGAGUCAUUUUUCUAUAAAAGGACCCCUCACCCUCACAAUUAGGGAGGCCAACUCUUAGGCCUAAAGCCCCCCUCACCCUCUCACAUCUCCUCUCACAUUACAGAGGUUUCUCUCCCUCACAAUCCUCUCAUAAAUACAUAAGCAGUGUGGACGUAGCCCAAAGUUUAGGGUGAACUACGAUACAUCUUGUGUUAUUUACAUUAUUUGCAGAUUCACGGUCGGAUUUACAUUGUACCAAGACCUCCGGUUUUGUGCAUCAACAUUUGACGUCUGUGGGAAUCGAUACGAAAAGUUGUGUCGGUUCUCUUUCAUUUUUUUUACCUCCACUAUGAAUCUGCAAAAUCACAAAAAACCAAGAACACCACUCUCUCUCUCUAAAAAUCCUGAGAUACCCAGAAAAGCCCAUAUCUCUAUUUUGAAGAAAAAGAAAACAACAGUGACAAAGGCAACAUCCAAAUUGCAAUUACCGAAUCAAAAGCAACAUCCGACACCUGUGCUCUCCCCUCCAUCUCUGUCCUUGUAAUCUCUCGACACCAAGGAAACCCAGCUCCCUCUCUCACACUUCCUCUCUCUCUCUACCAUCAUUUGUUAGUUAUAAUCACUAUUUUCAUGACAGAGGAGGGGGAGAGAAGAUUAUGUUCAGAAAGUUUGAAAUGAUGGCGAGCUCGAAGACUCUGUUCGCUUUCGGAGGCCAAACCCUGCUCCUUGCCUCAUCGGCCUUCGCAGACGACGUCGUUGCGCUCACGGCGGCGCCAUUGUCGAGGUUAACACCCUCGAGCAAGCCAAGCUCGCCGAAGAUGCCAUCGCUUGCUCUGUCCUCCUCGUCCCGAACUGCAACACCCUCGGCGGUCAUAUUGAUUACGUGGAGGACGGUGAGCAGGAGGGUUUCAAUUCGUACCCAGAUAGGUUUAUGCGCAUGAAUUACAUGAAGAACAAAGCGACGCCAUCUGUGGUGCAUCGGCAGAAACCCGUGAGCCUUGAAAUCGUGUUUCAAUUGGGGGAAUCUUCUUCUUCGAAUUCGUAACCCAGAUCCCAAUUAGAUUCAGAUAAGCAAAAUCACCUAUUUCGCAGAUCGAGCGAGAAAAUUCUCACUUGGACCGGGGGCAGUAAUCACCUUUCCUCUUUGCUCUGCUACUGGUUCUCGCACACUGAGGAAAGAAUAGGGUGGAGGCGUUGAUGGUGUUGGCGCAGUCUAAGUGGGGGUUAGAGAGCUUGCACAAGGACUUGGCUGCUGUGGUCCAGGCGGGUCGGAUCCACUGGGGCUGGACCAUCACCCCUAUUCUUCACGAUGCCACUGCCGUUCUCCGAGCCAGAGGAGGAAGAUUCAGCCUUCAAUAAGCAUUUUUGGAUCUGGGUUUUCGUUCCCCUGAGGGAAUCUCCAAGAACCCCAAUGGUCAAUGGCUUCUAAUUCGACGGUGAAAAAGGCGAAUAAGGUUUGCUUCUUCUACGGCGCUGAGACCAAAAGCCCUCACCGAGAAUGUCGCGGCCCAGUCCAACUCCAUCGAGCUCUGUAGCAUUACUUAGAAGAAAUUUGAUGAUGGAUUCCCCAACAUUUUCAGACCCAAUGCUCGUGGAAUUCGAGGGCAACAUGUGGCGUUUCUUGCCUCGUUUAGCUCCCCGUCGCGUAUGGAGGAUGAUAGAGAUGUUGCCACCGCUUUCAUGUUUGCCAGGGUCUUGUCAAAUAUUCCAAUUUCGAUGGGAGGGCCUACUAGUUUAGUUAUCUAUGAUAUCCAUGCCUUGCAGGAGCAGUUUUACGUUGGUGAUAAUAUCUUACCGUGCUUUGAAAACGAGAUCCCUUUGCUUAAAAAUAGGCUCCAGCAGCUUCCUGAUUUCGACAAUAUAUCCAUUGCUUUUCCUGAUAAUGGUGCGUGGAAACGAUUUCAUAAGCAGCUAUAUCAUUUCCCUACGGUGUCGUCUUGCUUUUACAAAUGAGGAGUGCAUAAGCUGGCUGCUUUCCAAAGUGGAAAGGAACAGCGUCACCAAGUGGAAGCCAUCCCUGCCAGCUCAACCACCAAGCAAAGAAAAAGAAAGGCCCAUCACUCUACAAAGCAAAAGCAAAAGUAAAGCAGAAAAGGAAAAGAGAAAAGAAGAAAAGGGGAAAAAUUAUAAGAUUCCUAUUAUUACAAUUCCUUUUGUCUACCAGGUGAAGAGACAGAGAGAGUGCGACGGAAAGCAGAACGUAAAAGCAGAAGGCAAAAACAAGGAAUAAACAUCCCACCAGAAUGAUGUGGUUUACUUUUCUUGUUUCUAAAUGGUGUAAAUUAUUUUUCUUAUCUUUCGGAGACAUCUGUAUAAACCCCAUCAGAGGGUAAAAAAAAAAAAAAAAAAAACAGCUAAGCCCAAAAUAAAUGGGCUGGAAUGUUGUGUGGAGAGCAAAGGCCCAUAAGCCUAAAAUAGCACCAACCAAGUUAUCAAAAGUACGCCCAGUACUCCACAAUUAUUCGGCAACCCGCUGCUAUUACCACCAACCAGGUGAUGAAAUGUACAACCCGUACUCUAAUAUCAUUUGGCAACUAGCCAUUCAUGCCACCAACCAGGUGAUGAAAUGUACAAUCCAUACUCUAAAAUCAUUUGGCAACUAGCCAUUCAUGCCACCAACCAAGUGAUGAAAUGUAUAACCCGUACUCUCCUUCAUACCACCAACUAGGUGAUCAAAAGUACGCCCGGUACUCCAAAUUAUACAUGAGCAUUACUCAUGUCAUUCACACAUAAACAUUCAUGAGCAUCAUUCAUGACAAUUAUACAUAAACAUUCAUGACCAUCAUUCAUGUCAACAAUCAUGAGCAUCACUCAUGUUAACAUUCAUGAGCAUCACUCAUGUCAACAUCCAUGAGCAUCACUCAUGUCAACAUCCAUGAGCAUCACUCAUGUCAAUCAACAUAAACAUUCAUGAGCAUUACUCAUGUCAAUCAGCUUUAAAAGCUUCAUUUACAAGACUCUAGCUUUAAAAGCGUCAUUUACAGAGCUCUAGCUUCAAAAGCUUCACUUGCAAAGCUUCACCUACAAAGCUUCAGUGUAGGGUAUACAAAUACCACAUCCGAACAACCACCACUUCGGCCCGUACACGGAUUCAAUUUGAAGUCUCCAGCUAACAGACUCUAUUGACCGAAGACUUGGGGGACUACAUUAUGUACCAUAUAUUGGGCCUCAACUGGGCCUCAUGAAAAAUACUUGGAAGACUUAGCCCAUUGUUUAUGUAUUAAGGAGCGAGCCCUUAUUCUAUAAAAGGGACUUCCUCACUUUCAUUAGAGAGCACCCAUUAUUCAUGUACUGUGGAGUGAGCCCUUAUUUUAUAAAAGGGACUCCCUCACCUUCAUUAGAGAGCAACGCCACCAGCUGAGCAACCGCCUCGCCGCGAGCAUCACUUCUAACCCAUCACUUAUGUAUUGAGGAGCGAUCCCUUAUUCUAUAAAAAGGACUCCCUCACCACCAUUAGAGAGCAUCGUCACCAGCUAAGCAACCGCCUCGUCGCAAGCAUCACUCCUAACCCAUCACUUUUGUAUCGAGGAGCGAGCCCUUAUUCUAUAAAAUGGACUCCCUCACCACCAUUUUUAGAGCAUCACCGCCUACUGAGCAACCACCUUGCCACGAGCAUCAACUCUAGCCCAUCAUUUAUGUAUUGAGAAGUGAGCCCUUAUUCUAUAAAAGGGACCCCCCCACCUUCAAGCGCCACAAGUUGAGCCAACCAAGGCAACAUAAGCACAAGCUGAGCAGCCUCACAACAUGUGCUACUUAUAGUUGAGCAUUAUUUCACUUUGAGCACCACCUCAUAUCAAGUACCAGUUCAAGAAGACAUCUAGUUACUUCGGCUCACACAUGGACUGAAUUUCAAGUAUCUAGCCAAAAGACUCUCUUGACUGAAGACUUGGGGGACUACUGUUUAUACCAUAUUUAGGGCCUCGUAUUUAGAUAUCGUACAAAUACUUGAGGGACUUAAAUGUAAUUAUGUGAUAAAGGAAGGGGCAAAUAUGUAAUAAGUGAGGAGUCCUUAUUCUAUAAAAGGACCCCUCACCUUCACAAUUAGGGGAGGCCAACUCUUAGGCCUAAAGCCCCCCCUCACCCUCUCACAUCUCCUCUCACAUUACAGAGGUUUCUCUCCCUCACAAUCCUCUCAUAAAUACAUAAUCAGUGUGGACGUAGCCCAAACCUUGGGGUGAACCACGAUACAUCUUGUGUUAUUUAUAUUACUUGCAGAUUCACGGUCGAAUUUACGUUGUACCAAGACCUCCGGUUUUGUGCAUCAAC